GACGAACGCUGGCGGCGCGCUUAACACAUGCAAGUCGAGCGAUGAAACUUUAACAGAACCCUUCGGGGCGAAGAUAAAGUGGAUUAGCGGCGGACGGGUGAGUAACACGUGAGUAACCUGCCUUAGACAUUGGGAUAGCCUCGGGAAACCGGGAUUAAUACCAAAUAAAAUCAUAAUGACACAUGUCAUAACGAUCAAAACUCCGGUGGUCUAAGAUGGACUCGCGUCGCAUUAGCUAGUUGGUAGAGUAAAAGCCUACCAAGGCGACGAUGGGUAGCCGGGCUGAGAGGGAGAGCCGCCACAUUGGAACUGGGCAACGGUCCAAAAUCCUACGGGAGGCAGGAGUGGCGAAUAUUGCACAACGGAGGGAAUGCAGAUGCAGCGACGCCGCGAGAACGAAGAAGGCGUUCGAGAAGUAAAGUUCUUUUAUAUGGGAAGAUAAUGACGGUACCAUAAGAAAAAGCACCGGCUAACUACGUG
rnacentral:rRNA from 1 species